CGCUUGCGCCAUCUUGCGGACCCCGGCCAGGUUUACGGGCGCCAGCCUGAGAGGCUACUGCGAGCUACGCGGAGCUACGGGCAUGCGGAGGCCGCGGUGCCGGGAACCUCCCGAAGGCUGCUGGCCCUCUCCCAGAGCAGGUCAAGCUGACACGGCGCCUGAGGAAGCUGCAGCAGCGAGGGUAGCGGCAUGUGUCCGCCCCGCCUGCUCUGCUGUCUCACACACGAACUUCUUCGGUCCCGGCUGCCGGCCUGGAGCUGGCAGUGCAGCCGGAUGGGAGAAGCCUCACCCCACUGCCCUUCAUCCUGUACACACAGAGGGGUCCUAGCCUUAAAAACAGUAUCAAAGUAUAAAAGCAGAACAGUCCGGUUUUACUUCAGGGAUUAAAACGUGUGGGUCUUAUUACCCCCCUCCUCCCCCCAGUAAUUUAAUCUCAUCACCUACCAUUAACUACUCAACUUCUCCAGGUAGCACAGCUGCUUUCCCUCCUCUGAAAUCACAUGGGACUCCAUCUUUCUGGUCAAAAAUACCUUCCUGGAGCUCCAGACAAAGCAGCAACACCUCCAGUGUUCAUCUUUUUCAUGGCCACACUUCCCUCAGGAGCAAAAGCAGCAGAGCCCUUCCUCAGGCAUUGCCUUGUGGCCGGUACCAGCACAGCCUGGAAAGCUCUGGUAGCAGAGGACAGAGUGGGCCUGGGCACUUAUCCCAUGCACUCCCUGCACACAGCAGUCAUCUGGCUGUGCUUGCUAGAAAACAAGCUCCAACAGAACUUGGCUUUCCAACAGACACCCUCUGCUCUGCUUCAGACCCUCCCACUGUCAUUCUGCACCUCAUAACUAGAGUUUGAAAUUCUCCUGCACAGUACAGUGAACUCUACCUACUGGAUCCAGGUUUCUGGACUAGUCAAAGCUGUACAGUUGAUUGGAGGGUACUACAUGAAACCCUCCUAGACUAAAAAAUAAAUCUGCAAUACAACCAAGAUCUUGGAUGCAGAACAUGAUCGGGUUUUCAUUGUAUAUGCAAGUUUUCCUGGACACAGAAGUAAAACUAGAACAGCAAAAACUUCAUGAACGGUUUUGGCUCACUCUUACCCUGGUAGCAUUCCCAUCAGGAAGUCCGAAAUUUCAUUUCAUAGAUGUGAACUUACUAAAGAUUAAAAAGGGAAGAGCCUUCAGCUGUUUUUUCUUGAAAUGCUGACAAUGCAGAAGAGCUUGGAAAACACUGCAUCAGCAUGGCUACACUUCUAUUGCUGGCAAAUACAGAAUGCCUAUGUCAUUUUGAUAAUUCAUCAGCAACUUGCCACAGAACGAUGAAGCAGAAAACAAGCACCUCAAUGCUGACCCUACAAACAGGGCCACCAACCUCUGAAACAGGUAAUGAGUCUCCUACCAGCAACCUAUUCUAAAAAUCAAAACCGAAGAGUUUCAAAAAAGACAUCCCAAACCCUCUUCACAGAGGCUUUCCACUUCAAACAGGUAGGAUAAAAUUACUUUGGAAAGACAGUACGGGUACGUAUUCUGACAUUUGCCUGUUUCUUAAGAUUUUGCACCCCUAUAGUUCUUAGCAUAUAACUGCAUCUGAAAGAGCUACAUGGCAGCACUCCCUCCAUUUAGUUUUUAAAACUUGUCAUUCUUUGUUAGAUCUUGCAUAUUGAUGUCAGAACAGGAGUGACAGAAUUUUUACACUGAAGGAGAAAUUCUUAAAGCAUAAACAGUAAAGAGGCUGGAAGACAGGGCAGGUAUCCCAUUCCCAGACUAAUUUAAAAGUUCAUUAUCUUGUAUAAUGAAGGUCUCCUAUUUACUCUAGCAGAGUGAUGUUGCAUAACUGUAUUUUCCCUAGUAAGAUGCAUACACUAGUGUGGUAAAUAUUGACCAGAACUAGCUAAGUGUCACUGGCUGGAAACUGAUACACUCCUGCACUUG